rnacentral:rRNA from 1 species
UACGUAGGGUGCAAGCGUUGUCCGGAAUUAUUGGGCGUAAAGCGCUCGUAGGCGGUUUGUUGCGUCGGCUGUGAAAUCCCGAGGCUCAACCUCGGGUCUGCAGUCGAUACGAGCAAACUAGAGUGUUGCAGGGGAGACUGGAAUUCCUGGUGUAGCGGUGAAAUGCGCAGAUAUCAGGAGGAACACCGGUGGCGAAGGCGGGUCUCUGGGCCUUACCUGACGCUGAGGAGCGAAAGCUGGGGGAGCGAACAGG